UGAAGUUGCUGUGAAAGCCAAAGGCACUUUUAUUUAUAUAAUUUCACAUUUUCUUGGCAGUCAGAUUGUUUUGACACUGUUGCACAAACAUAUGAUCAUUUAAGAUGUUCCUUUAUUUAAUGAAAGAUAGUAAGACUGGCUUCCAUCAUUUUUCAGAUGUUGUACAACUACAGGACUUUCAAUCUCAGUCAAGUUGAGGGGUCAGUUGCACGAAUGGUAACUGUAAUUCAAACUGGUCACUGGAAAAAGUGCCGCUGUGUGGGAAUCAAUUGUAGUUUCUCCGUGUCACAGAUCAUUUCAAGGACGUAUAGUGACUUAGGAAUGUUCUGUUACUACUAUAUGGAUCUUCAGGGAGUCGUGCACAAUGUGAACAGUGAUGUUGAAAAGUUCUGAUGAGCCUGCUAUCGUUACAGUCGAGGCAAGUCAAAAAUAGCGAACAGGAGUUAGAAAUUUUGUCUGACAUGGACUUACCUGCUAUAAUAUGUGUGGCAAGAAGUUUGAAAUCAAAGUCACAAGAAGUUGUUUGAUGAUGGAAGUAUCUGUGAUCAUUUAGUAUUUCCAGUGGUUCAGAGAAACAGAUUACACUAAAUGUGAUAUUUAUCUAUUUGUGAAUGAACGAGGACUUAAUGAGGAUAAAAUGUUAAGAAGACAAACCUGAUGCAGCAACAAUUUUGUGACAGUAUCAAUGUAAUAUUUAACCAUGUACAACUGUUUUUCAUUAUAAAUGCAAUAAAAGGUAAUACAAUGUUAAAACUGCUUUACACUUUUUAUGCGAGGGAAUAUGUUGUAUAUGGUCACUAUAGAGGUUUUUCCAUUUGAAGAAAUAAUAUUGUGGGUGAACCGGUGAAGAAUAUAUUGACCAAAUCUGUCAUGUUGACCAUAAUGUUCCGUGCAACCUUUAUUGUACAAAAAGUAGAUUUGUUAUAGCACCAAAUAAUAGUGAGAUUGGAAGGCCAGUGUGCAAACCACUGAGCUAUCC